UUAUUAUCUUUCAAUUAAUCAAAAUUCCAACCUUAGUCCAGCAUAAGCUCCUGGUUUAGGUUUUGUUACAAUUUCAAAUCCAAAAUCAACAUACACACACACACACACACACACACACAAAACGCACGCACCUUUUUUUCUUUUUACCUAGACUCGAUCGAUCCUUGUUCUGCUUCUUCUCAAUCUGAAUCGACCAAUUAGGGUUCCAAAAUGUUACUCUCUUCGUUCCUCUAACAUCGGCAACCAUUUUAAGUUUAUAAUUAACGUUUUUUUUUUUGUUUUCUUGUUUAAAUUCUGAACUUUAUGAGCUUGAAUUGUGAAAAUAAGGAAAUGACUGGUCGUCGUUCCUUAUCGCGCGAUCGAAAUUCGGUUCAAUCUCGUGCUUCCAGUAAUUCUCUUCGAAGUGGUAGAAAUGCAUUUUGUUUGUUAGUACGGAGAGAGAUUUGCCCCAGUACAAAGCAUGUACCGAAGCGGCAGUGGGCUGAUGCUUCUCAAUGGAAUGCUAAUUCAUCAUCUGUGCCUAAAACUGAACCGGCUAGAGAUGCAAAACGGGGUCUUAUUUCAUGGGUUGAGGCAGAGUCAUUGCGGCAUUUAUCUGCCAAGUAUUGUCCUUUGGUGCCUCCUCCAAGGUCAACUAUUGCAGCAGCAUUUAGUCCUGACGGAAGAACACUUGCUUCAACUCACGGCGAUCACACUGUAAAGAUAAUUGAUUGUCAAACGGGAAACUGCUUAAAGGUGUUAAGUGGUCAUCGGAGGACUCCUUGGGUGGUUAGGUUCCACCCAUUGCAUCCUGAAAUUCUUGCAAGUGGGAGCUUGGAUUACGAGGUUCGCUUAUGGGAUGCAAACACAGCAGAGUGUAUAGGAUCUCGCGAUUUCUAUCGUCCCAUUGCUUCCAUUGCCUUCCAUGCUGAAGGUGAAUUGCUUGCAGUUGCAUCAGGUCACAAGUUGUACAUAUGGCACUACAAUAAGCGAGGGGAGGCUUCCUCACCAACCAUUGUAUUGAAGACAAGGCGUUCUCUUCGAGCAGUGCAUUUUCACCCACAUGCUGCUCCAUUUCUGUUGACUGCUGAGGUCAAUGAUCUUGACUCUUCAGAUUCCUCAAUGACGCGAGCAACAUCUCCGGGUUAUCUAAAAUACCCUCCUCCAGCAGUUUUUGUGACAAAUGUACAGUCCAGUGAUCGUGUUAGUUUGGCCACGGAACUACCUCUCAUGUCCUUGCCUUUCUUGUUAAUGCCUCCAUUCUCUGUAGAUGAUACUAGAACAGAUACUAAUAGACAGGUCAGUCCAAUGACAAUGCAGAUAGAGUCUUCCGGUUCAAGGCAGUUGCAAACAGAUGGAAAUGCAGUAGACAAGUACGACACCUUAGUGUCUCCCAUGGAGACAGUUCCUGCUGUUCCUUCUAGUUCAUAUCACAGUACAGAAGGUACAUUGAGCAAUGUUUUUCAUACUGGAAUAGGAAGUGGUGUUUCUGAGACAACAGUGGAUGCCAUGGAGACUGAUGAAUUGCAGCCUAUAGGGGGGAACUUGCAAGGAAGCUAUACCGAUCCAGAAACUUCUGGUGGUGGUAGUAGUGCAGUGGGUGGUGUGUCUGGAAAUAUUUCUGUUAGGCAGCAUUCCACAGAGUUAGGGCAACUUCAUCAAUACUUACCUUCUAGAGAUCCAACUUGGUGGGAGCUACGCUUUUUGCAAGGAUGGUUAAUGGGCCAAAGCCAAGCUGGCGUUCCAUCAACUCUUCCUCUUAACAGCGGUGGUCGUGAAUAUUUACCCCAAUAUGCAGGUUCCUCUUCAACAUCUUAUUUACCUGGUAACAGUGUGGAGGCUCCAGUGGCUAAUUUAGCAAUGCCUGCUAGUACUAGCCUGUCUGGGGUUUCUGGGAGAUCUGGCUUGCAACAUCAAAUUUCACGUUUCCGCUUUUCUGGGGAGAGUAUAGCUCCCAUGAAUAUGCAAAAUGAUGGUAUUGACAACCAGCCCAUAUUUAACAGAAUUCAAUCUGAAAUUGCCACAUCACUGGCAGCUGCUGCUGCAGAGUUGCCUUGUACUGUAAAGCUCAGGGUAUGGUCACAUGAUAUAGAACGCCCUUGUGCACCACUCAAUGCCGAAAGGUGUCGUUUAACCAUACCUCAUGCUGUCUUAUGUAGUGAAAUGGGUGCUCAUUUUUCACCCUGUGGAAGAUAUUUAGCUGCCUGUGUUGCUUGCAUGCUUCCUAACAUGGAAGCUGACCCUGGAUUACAGACAUUAGUUCAACAAGAUACAGGGGCUGCAACUUCACCUACCCGACACCCAAUCUCAGCACAUCAAGUUAUGUAUGAGCUCCGCAUAUAUUCCAUGGAGGAGGCAACCUUUGGUUCAGUGCUUGUAUCACGAGCAAUUCGAGCUGCCCAUUGUUUGACUUCGAUCCAGUUCUCACCAACUUCUGAGCAUAUACUAUUGGCUUAUGGUCGGCGUCAUGGAUCUCUUCUUAAAAGCAUUGUUAUUGAUGGGGAAACUACAUCUCCUAUUUAUACAGUUCUGGAGGUUUACAGAGUUUCAGAUAUGGAACUGGUGAGAGUUCUUCCUAGCGCUGAGGAUGAGGUCAAUGUUGCUUGUUUUCAUCCUUUUGCUGGGGGAGGUCUUGUUUAUGGAACCAAGGAAGGGAAACUUAGGAUACUCCGUUAUGAUGGUGCUUAUGGUGUAAACUGCGCUGGAUCAAAUUAUUCUCCACAUGAUAACUUGGCUGAGGUAGAAUAGUCUGAAAGGUCCAGACGUAUGCCUUGGAAGGUUAAAAACCAUUGCUAUGCUUCCAAUGUGUGAACGGCGAAUUCUACCUCAACGGAGAGAAGCAUCAUCUUGGUUGUGGAUGAGGCACGAAUUUAACUUAUGGUGUGAGUUUGAAUGCACUUACCUAACCUUGACAGCAUUCUCUACUGAUAGGAAGUCCUUAGCGUAUACUUGGUUUGGAUCAGAUCUGUGACUAACUGUUGGGUUCUUACAGAUUCGCCUACAGCAGCAAACUAUAGAAAUGUAUUCUAAUUUAUGUGCUGAAAAAUGUAAAAUAUUUGUAUCGCAGUAAUGAACUGACGUUUUCUUGCUUCUCUUUCAAAUUCUACUUCUUUUUUCUCUAAAAAUGAAUUAUUUUUCUUCUUUC